rnacentral:rRNA from 1 species
AUUGAACGCUGGCGGCAUGCUUUACACAUGCAAGUCGAACGGCAGCGCGGUAGAGGUUUGUUCUUUGCCGGCGAGUGGCGCGCGGGUGUGUAAUAUACAGGGAAAUGUACAGAUGAGUGGGAUAACACCUCGGGAGGCUUACUAAUACAGCAUAAACUAUGUGGGAGAGAGAUCAGGACCUCUGAAGAGGUUUCGCGCUUGUUGAGCGGGCGAUGUCGGAUUAGCUAGUUGGUGGGGUAAAGGCACACCAAGGCGAAGAUCUGUAGCGGGUCUGAGAGGAUGAUCCGCCACACUGGGACUGAGACACGGCCCAGACUCCUACGGGAGGCAGCAGUGGGGAAUAUUGGACAAUGGGGGCAAGCCUGAUCCAGCCAUGCCGCGUGGAUGAAGAAGGCCUUAGGGUUGUAAAGUACUUUUGUUAGGGAAGAAAAGUCAGCGGUGAAUACUCGCUUGUACUGACGGUACCUAAAGAAUAAGCACCGGCUAACUACGUG